GGGCGAGUGGCGGAACGGUUUACGCAGAGGACUUAAAAUCCUUGGUCCGAAAGGACUUGUGGGUUCGAAUCCCACCUCGCCCA
rnacentral:tRNA from 1 species